rnacentral:rRNA from 1 species
UACGAAGGGGGCUAGCGUUGCUCGGAAUCACUGGGCGUAAAGCGCACGUAGGCGGCUUUUUUAAGUCAGGGGUGAAAUCCUGGAGCUCAACUCCAGAACUGCCUUUGAUACUGAGAGGCUUGAGUCCGGGAGAGGUGAGUGGAACUGCGAGUGUAGAGGUGAAAUUCGUAGAUAUUCGCAAGAACACCAGUGGCGAAGGCGGCUCACUGGCCCGGUACUGACGCUGAGGUGCGAAAGCGUGGGGAGCAAACAGG